rnacentral:rRNA from 1 species
UUCGCAAUGCCCGAAAGGGUGACGAAGCGACGCCGCGUGGGUGAGGAAGGCCUUCGGGUUGUAAAGCCCUGUCAGGAGUUAUGAAAUGUAGGUGCGCUAAUAUCGUGCUUAUUUGACAAAGGCUCCAAAGGAAGCCACGGCUAACUCUGUGCCAGCAGCCGCGGUAAUACAGAGGUGGCAAGCGUUGUUCGGAAUUAUUGGGCGUAAAGAGCACGUAGGUGGGUUUGCAAGUCAGAUGUGAAAGCCUUCUGUUCAACGGAAGAAUUGCAUCUGAAACUGCCAAUCUUGAGUGUAGGAGGGGAGAAUGGAACUUCUGGUGGAGCGGUGAAAUGCGUAGAUAUCAGAAGGAACGCCGGCGGCGAAAGCGAUUCUCUGGCCUGUUACUGACACUCAGUGUGCGAAAGCUAGGGGAGCAAACGGGAUUAGAUACCCCGGUAGUCCUAGCCGUAAACGAUGGGCACUAAGUAGAGGGGUUUU